rnacentral:misc_RNA from 1 species
CGUAGGUGAACCUGCGGAAGGAUCAUUAACGAGUUAGGGUCUUCCAGGCCCGACCUCCCAACCCUAUGUUUAUUGAACCUCUGUUGCUUCGGCGGGCCCGUCUCACGGCCGCCGGGGGAGUCGCCGCGAGGCACCCUCUGGCCAGCGUCCGCCGAUGGCCAACCUCAAAACUCUGAACGAAUCGUGUCAUGAUGUCUAAGUCUAUGAUUAAAUUAAAGCAAAACUUUCAACAACGGAUCUCUUGGUUCUG